UACGGAGGGUGCAAGCGUUGUUCAGAAUUACUGGGCGUAAAGCGCGUGUAGGCGGCCGAUUAAGUCUGGUGUGAAAGCCCGGGGCUCAACCCCGGAACUGCAUUCGAUACUGCUGCGCUAGAGUACUGGAGAGGAGAUUGGAAUUUACGGUGUAGCAGUGAAAUGCGUAGAUAUCGUAAGGAAGACCAGUGGCGAAGGCGGAUCUCUGGACAGUUACUGACACUGAGGCACGAAGGCCAGGGGAGCAAACGGG
rnacentral:rRNA from 1 species